UGCACAUGAUGUUUCUCACGAUGGUCUUCAUAUUCCCUUAUAUCAGGGAUGCUGACAAUGCUUCAAAGCACUUCACUGAUGCAAUCUU
rfam:Strongylocentrotus purpuratus Contig9913_fixed, whole genome shotgun sequence.